UGGGGAAUAUUGCGCAAUGGGGGGAACCCUGACGCAGCCAUGCCGCGUGAAUGAAGAAGGCCUUCGGGUUGUAAAGUUCUUUCGGUAUUGAGGAAGGUUGAUGUGUUAAUAGCACAUCAAAUUGACGUUAAAUACAGAAGAAGCACCGGCUAACUCCGUGCCAGCAGCCGCGGUAAUACGGAGGGUGCGAGCGUUAAUCGGAAUAACUGGGCGUAAAGGGCACGCAGGCGGUUAUUUAAGUGAGGUGUGAAAGCCCCGGGCUUAACCUGGGAAUUGCAUUUCAGACUGGGUAACUAGAGUACUUUAGGGAGGGGUAGAAUUCCACGUGUAGCGGUGAAAUGCGUAGAGAUGUGGAGGAAUACCGAAGGCGAAGGCAGCCCCUUGGGAAUGUACUGACGCUCAUGUGCGAAAGCGUGGGGAGCAAACAGGAUUAGAUACCCUGGUAGUCCACGCUGUAAACGCUGUCGAUUUGGGGGUUGGGGUUUAACUCUGGCGCCCGUAGCUAACGUGAUAAAUCGACCGCCUGGGGGGUACGGCCGCAAGGUUA
rnacentral:rRNA from 1 species